CCAGCUCCAAGAGUCGUAUAUUAAAGUUGUUGCGGUUAAAAAGCUCGUAGUUGGACUUACGUUGAAGACGAUCUGGUCCCGGGGGUCAAACCUUGGAUCAAGACUGGGCGUCUCUCUUCGUAUAUUCUGGGGACACAAAACGGGGGCAACUCCGGUUCUCAGGGUUUACUUUGAAUAAAUUAGGGUGUUCAAAGCAGGCGAAAUCGCCUUGAAUACAUUAGCAUGGGAUAAUAGAAUACGACCUAUGGUCUACUCUUUUGGUUUCUAAGGCCAAGGUAAUGAUUAAUAGGGACAGUUGGGGUCGCUCAUACUCAGUGGUUAGAGGUGAAAUUCUAUGACCCACUGAAGAUGAACUAAUGCGAAGGCAUUCGACAAGGAUGUUUUCA
rnacentral:rRNA from 1 species